GGGGAUAUGGCGAAAUUGGUAGACGCUGCGGACUUAAAAUCCGUUGACUUUAUAAAUCGUGAGGGUUCAAGUCCCUCUAUCCCCA
rnacentral:tRNA from 1 species